rnacentral:rRNA from 1 species
AACGAACGCUGGCGGCAUGCCUAACACAUGCAAGUCGAACGAGACCUUCGGGUCUAGUGGCGCACGGGUGCGUAACGCGUGGGAACCUGCCCUUAGGUUCGGAAUAACUCCCCGAAAGGGGUGCUAAUACCGGAUAAUGUCUUCGGACCAAAGAUUUAUCGCCUUUGGAUGGGCCCGCGUUGGAUUAGCUAGUUGGUAGGGUAAAAGCCUACCAAGGCGACGAUCCAUAGCUGGUCUGAGAGGAUGAUCAGCCACACUGGGACUGAGACACGGCCCAGACUCAUACGGGAGGAAGCAGUGGGGAAUAGUGGACAAUGGGCGAAAGCCUGAUCCAGCAAUGCCGCGUGAGUGAUGAAGGCCUUAGGGUUGUAAAGCUCUUUUACCCGGGAUGAUAAUGACAGUACCGGGAGAAUAAGCUCCGGCUAACUCCGUG